AUUCAUAAAAAGGUGUUAGAGAGUUAUCAGGGCCGAGCUGCGGGAGGCAGAUGUCCCGCACCGAGCUGGCAGAUGGAGCGAUUGUUCAAGUAUCGACACUUCACACACGAUCGAUGUCACAGUUGAUCAGCUUAAUGUAAAUAUCCUGAGGGCCACAGCAUCUAUCAGCUGAGGAGGGGGAACAAAACGGCUAAAGAAAUGUCAUGACUGUUUGCCCGGUGGUUUAUUUGUGAUGCACUCAGUAACUUGUGUUGAAAUGAUGAUUAUAAUUGAGGAAUAUUGCUCAGUUUUUAAUAGUUGAGCUUAAAGGGGCUCAGUGUAGUUUUGGAGAAAGAAUUGUAAUUUUUACAUUAUUAAUGUAAAUAUUACAAGGUGAUGACACAAAACUCAUACAUAUUUAUCUUUUCCAUAACUGAAUAAACAAGCUGUUCUCGGGGGAAAGUAAGGUCCCACACUGAUUUAUCUGUGAUUGGACAAUAGCAUGCAAUAAUAUCUGUCAGGCUCUAAUAAUUAGAGAAGAGACAAAUAAUAAAAUGGGUAUAACUUAAGAAAAGGUAUUUAAAGGUGCACUAUGUAGUUUUUGGGGAAAUUCAAGUGACUAUUUACAACAGUAAUAAGGUAAUAAUACAAAGAGAGAAAUAGUUAUAUGACAUAUCUACACAUAAACAAGCUGUUCUCAAGGGGAAAAAAGUCCCUAGAUCACUGUUUGAAACUAGAGAGGUGGAAACUUAGUAAAGUCCUGCAAACAUACUAAAAAAUGAAAGUGUGUUUUCCUAGGAGGACAGUUAGAUUUUGAUAACUUCUCUCUCUUUCUCUUUGUCUCUUCUGCUGUGUGUGUGUGUGUGUGUGUGUGUGUGUGUGUGUGUGUGUGUGUGUGUGUGUGUGUGUGUGUGUGUGUGUGUGUGUGUGUGUGUGUGUUUAGACAGGGAGGGGACGUGUUGAGGAGCACUAAUGGCUCGUGGCUGUGUGGGAAAACAAAGGAGGAGCAAACAGCGUGAGCCCGAGAACAGCAGCAGCAGAGUCAGUCUGGAGUUUAAAAGGGAGCAAAGCUCCUGUUUCACUCAGUUUCCUCCUUCUGAGGAGCCGCUGGAGAGCGAAGCUGCUCCAACAGGGACAAAGACAGAGAGGGAGGACAUAAAGCUGACAGAACCAUGUUCUCCUUCACGUUUCUCCUCCUCCUUGUUCCACAUGUGUUGCUGUCCUCGAGACAUGUCGCAGUGAUCUCCCCUCAGGAUCCCGUCCUGCGCAUCGGCUCCAGCCUGACAGCCACCUGCACGCUGAGCCCCGAGCUCGGCCUCCACUCCAGCUCUUUGUACUGGACCCUGAACGGCCUGCGCCUGUCCAGCAGCAGCUACAGGGUGCUGAGCCCUGACACCGUGAGCGUCACCCUGAGCAACCUGGAUGGCUCCCAGCAGCAGUCUGGAGACAACCUGGUGUGCCAUGGAGCUGAUGGCCACGUCCUGGCCGGUUCGUGUCUCUACGUGGGCAUGCCUCCAGAAAAGCCAGUUAAUUUAUCGUGUUGGUCCCGCAACACGAAGGACCUGAGCUGCAGGUGGACCCCGGGGGGCCGUGGUGAGACCCACAUCCGAACCACAUACACCCUCAAGUACAAAUUGAGGUGGUACGGGACAGAGAGGGAGUGUGAAGACGACGUCACAGGGAAGCAGCGGUACUCCUGCCACAUCCCCCGCAACCUGGCUCUCUUCACCCCGUAUGAGAUCUGGGUGGAGGCAGCCAAUCAGCUGGGCUCUGCCACCUCUGACAUCACCACCCUGGACAUCCUCGAUGUAGUGACUACAGACCCUCCUGCCAACGUGCAGGUGAAUCGUGUUGGCCACCUCGAGGACCAGCUGACGGUCCGCUGGGCGAGCCCCCCCGAGCUCAAGGACGUCCUGUUUCAGGCCAAAUACCAGAUCCGCUACAGACUGGAGGACAGCACUGAAUGGAAGGUGGUGGAUGACGUAGGUAACCAGACGUCAUGUAGGCUGGCAGGCCUCCAGCCCGGGACUGUUUAUUUCGUCCAGGUGAGGUGUAAUCCAGUGGGCAUCUACGGCUCUAGAAAGGCCGGCAUCUGGAGUGACUGGAGCCACCCGGCCGCCGCCUCCACACCAGGAAGUGAGCGGCUGCAGAGUGGCUCCUGUGAUCCGAAGCCCGGCGAGCAGAACUCCACCCUGCGGCGGGAACUCAAGCAGUUCUUCGGCUGGGUCCGCAAGCAUGCGUCCGGCUGCAGCGGCAUGUCGAUCAAACUGUACGACCAGUGGAGGGUGUGGCUGCAGAAAACGCACCGAACGCGCAACCAGGUAGGAGCCCCCUUCUCGAAAAUAACUCAGGCCAAAUGGCAGAGCCGGAGCCCCGGCAUCGUCUGAGCGAGAGCAGCCACAUCCUCCUCUGCUCGGCCCUCGAACUCACAGAAACCCUCACUCCACCUGACUCGAUCAGUUCAGCAGUCUCCAGAUUCUGCAAGACGAUAAUUCAUAGCAGCACCGCCCAGCACCACUGUGGUGUUUUAAUUCAAGAACAGCAUCAAGAAACGCUGACAGUUAACUGGCCCCGAGGGCCCCGGCUGUGCGAGAGGUCCAACGCCCUCAGCCUGACUGCAGUUCUUGGUCACAGUCUUGAGUUUAAAGGGCCCGGGUGGAAGAUAAGUGAGACAAUGCAGCCUUUUUCUGCCUUUAUCCGCUGACUGUUAGAUCUGUUUGCACACAUACGAAGGGCCUCAGUGACUGCACCUUUAUUGUAGGGCAAGAAGAGUUAUUGUAACAGAAUGUACAAAACAACCCUGACCCUCCUGUUCCAGGUUAAGACAUGUUUUGUUGUGAAACUGUGGACUCUGCAUGACAUUACAGGGUUAUGAUUGUUAUGUGUCUCCACAUCCAUAACUAUUGGAAAUAGCUCUGUGUAGGGCUGCAACUAUUGACUGCUUUCUUAUAUUGGAUUACAACGGACACAAUUUGUCUUAAAAAUAGAAUAAAUGCAACUCAGAAUCUCUCCAAAACUGCCUUCAACUUUUAACCCCCUCUUUUGACAUCGUCUUCUGAGUUUUCAUUUUGUUGGUUUCUUUGUGAAGUGUCUUUGAGUAUUAUGAAAAGUGCUAUAUAAGUUAAAUGUAUUAUUAUUAUUAUUAUCAUUGUUAUUAUUAUUAACCCUGUCCACAUGGUGAGGGUGCUGAGUGACACUUUCGGACGUCCCCCAGGAACAUCUUUUAACCAUCUGUUUACCUGUUAUUUUAAAUGUAGACCAACCAACCAGAGUACACAGCACAUAUAAGUUUAACAAUAAGCGGUAAAGAUUGACCGAGGUACAUCCAGGUACUACACUGUUAUUGGAUCACAGGUUGGGACUUACGAAGGGUCAAUUAAAUGAUUGUUUCAUCAAUAAAAUGUC